UACGUAGGGUCCGAGCGUUGUCCGGAGUUACUGGGCGUAAAGCGCGCGCAGGCGGCCCGCCAAGUCCGGCGUGAAAGCCCCCGGCUCAACCGGGGAGGGUCGUCGGGGACUGGCGGGCUUGGAGACGGCAGGGGCCGGUGGAAUUCCCGGUGUAGUGGUGAAAUGCGUAGAGAUCGGGAGGAACACCCGUGGCGAAGGCGGCCGGCUGGGCCGGUCUCGACGCUGAGGCGCGAAGGCGUGGGGAGCGAACGGG
rnacentral:rRNA from 1 species